GGCAAUAGCAAUCAACUCUGAAUCUCUAGGACUCUGACAGGAGAUUUAAAGAUCUGUGAUCCAUGAGAAACACAUGGAAAGAGUCUAUAUCUAUUGGGUCUUCAACUACCCCUCAGAGGGGCUUUCCCCACAACGUGAAGAUGGUUUCACCAUACCAUGGACAUACGAGCUCCCUUAUGGACCAUCUCUUCUUCCUUGAUUUAUAUAAACCGUCUUAGUGUCAGGAUUUUCAGAAGUACUUUGAUUCACAGGGAUGUGUCCUCUGGAUUUGACCUCCUCUAAUUGGUGCUAACCUGCAUAGUGUGGCUCUAUUCUGGGGAUUUCUGAGGAUGAGGACCCUGAAGGGAUGAUUGUACUUUCAGGAGUGACAGGCAAAUAGAAGCUGGCUGGGAUUUACCAUUUUUUGUUUGUGGUUCAGCAUCAGGCACUCCCAGCUCCUGCGUGAACAAGCUCAAUUGGAGAACAAUAUACAGAUUUUGCUGAAUGAGAAGAGAGAACUGCUGGUGGAGCAGACUGAACUGCCAGCAUCUUCUGUGGAGACAAAUAGGCUCUGUGAAGAGGCCGGAAUGAACAUCUGUGUCCCCAGAGCCAAGCAACAGUAGGUCUGAAAUUCUCCAGCAGAAACUCGAACAUGACACAUAUCAGGACAAGAUCUCCCUUGGAGAGAAGAGCUACAGGAGGAGAACUAAGUGUGCACAGCAAAUACACCACUAUUGUGUCUCAUCUGUAGUGUCCAUAGCAAUUGUGGACUGCAUUUUCCUCCUUUAGUUUAACUUCUUUGGAUUGAAUAGGCCUUACUUUCACCUCAGCCUCUCCAACAAGUGUGCACUUUUUGAGGGACUCAGAGAAGUGCUGAUGCAGAUCAAUCAAGAGCUGCUGGUCAUCCAGAAAGACUGUGCACGUGUAAAUUUGUACUUGUCCUGAUGGGUCAUCCAGAAGAGUAUCAUGGAGAUCAGUUCACAACAUUGGAAAGACUUUGUGACAAAGUCUGUAAUAUCAUUUAUACUCAGUAUUGGUAGGCUUUUUCCUUAAUACCCCCACUCCAACAAAACAGACCUACUUCCCCUCCUCUCGAAAAGAUUGUUACCAUCACUAACUGCUUGUCUACUAUGUCUCCAAGGCAAGCCACAGGCUAUAAGUCUAUUCUGCAAAAGGAGCAGCAAAA